AAAUGAGACUUGAUCUCUGUUGUCAUGGAGACAACAAAGCUGGUGAUGGUAAUAGCUGAGGCUGCCCUGGCUUGUCUCUAUGUCUAGAAGGUCUUUCCAACAUAGCAACUUUAGCACAGCCAGCCUUCUCUCAUGGCAGCUCAGGCUCCAAAGAGAUAAAAGGACUAUUCGGAUGAGGAGUCUUGUGAGAUUUGGGAUGCAAGCAACGGUGUCUCAGAGCCCCGGGGACUCAAAAGGUAUCAAAAGUGGGGGAUAGGAUUCUCCCAUUUCUACAUGGAAUUCAAUAGCUUCCUGCGGAGGAUCUGCAAGGAACCCCACCCAGGACAGCAAACAGGUGAGGGGAACCAGUGGCAGCAAGGCCACUAUGGAAUCAUUUCUUCAAAGGACUUGUAUACAAUGGGCUUCAGUGAAGACAUCCAAUGAAAGGAAAAAAGCAGACAUUCCUGAACAUUUGACAUACUUUUAGAUACUCCCAGAAGUAACUGGUACGGAUUUAAUAAAGAGUGCUGAUGUGC